rnacentral:rRNA from 1 species
CAACGAAUAUUCCGCAAUGGACGCAAGUCUGACGGAGCGACGCCGCGUGCAGGAAGAAGUCCUUCGGGAUGUAAACUGCUGUCAGGGGUGAGGAAAACUGACCAACCCCAGAGGAAGCACCGGCUAACUCCGUGCCAGCAGCCGCGGUAAUACGGAGGGUGCGAGCGUUGUUCGGAAUCACUGGGCUUAAAGCGCGUGUAGGCGGCAAGUUAAGUGUUGGGUGAAAUCCCUCGGCUCAACCGAGGAGCGGCCUGGCAAACUGGCUUGCUUGAGGUACGUAGAGGUGACUGGAACGACGGGUGGAGCGGUGAAAUGCGUAGAUAUCCGUUGGAACGCCGGAGGCGAAAGCGGGUCACUGGGCGUAUCCUGACGCUGAGACGCGAAAGCGUGGGUAGCAAACAGGAUUAGAUACCCGAGUAGUCCCUGAG